GAUGAAGAACGUAGCGAAAUGCGAUAAGUAAUGUGAAUUGCAGAAUUCAGUGAAUCAUCGAAUCUUUGAACGCACAUUGCGCCCGCCAGUAUUCUGGCGGGCAUGCCUGUUCGAGCGUCAUUUCAACCCUCAAGACCCCUUCGGGGGACUUGGUGUUGGGGACCGGCUGUUCCCGGCCUGCUUCUUGCAGCGCCUUUAUGCCGCCCCCGAAAUGAAUUGGCGGCCUCGUCGCGGCCUCCCCUGCGUAGUAGCACAACCUCGCAACGGGAACGUGACGGCGGCCACUGCCGUAAAACAACCCCAAUUUUAUUAGAGUUGACCUCGAAUCAGGUAGGAAUACCCGCUGAACUUAAGCAUAUCAAUAAGCGGAGGA
rnacentral:misc_RNA from 1 species